rnacentral:rRNA from 1 species
UGGGUAACCUGCCCCUGACACUGGGAUAACCCCGGGAAACCGGAGCUAAUACCGGAUACUCUCGGCCGAUCACAUGGCUGGCCGAGGAAAGGUCCGCCGGUCAGGGAUGGGCCCGCGGCCUAUCAGCUUGUUGGCGAGGUAACGGCUCACCAAGGCGACAACGGGUAGCUGGUCUGAGAGGACGACCAGCCACACUGGAACUGAGAUACGGUCCAGACUCCUACGGGAGCA